rnacentral:tRNA from 1 species
CACUGAGUAGCUAUCAAGGAAAGCAUUAGCCUUUUAAGCUAACAUAGGUGGUUACCACCCACCCCCAGCGA